CCUACGGGGGGCAGCAGUGGGGAAUAUUGCACAAUGGGGGAAACCCUGAUGCAGCGACGCCGCGUGAGUGAAGACGUAUUUCGGUACGUAAAGCUCUAUCAGCAGGGAAGAAAAUGACGGUACCUGACUAAGAAGCCCCGGCCAACUACGUGCCAGCAGCCGCGGUAAUACGGAGGGGGCCAGCGUUAUCCGGAUUUACUGGGUGUAAAGGGAGCGUAGACGGCAGCGCAAGUCAGGAGUGAAAUCGCAUGGCUUAACCAUGGAACUGCUUUGGAAACUGUGCAGCUGGAGUGCAGGAGAGGUAGGCGGAAUUCGUGGUGUAGCGGUGAAAUGCGUAGAUAUUAGGAAGAACACCGGUGGCGAAGGCAGCUUACUGAACUGUAACUGACGUUGAGGCUCGAAAGCGUGGGGAGCAAACAGGAUUAGAUACCCUGGUAGUC
rnacentral:rRNA from 1 species